GGGAGCCGAACACCUGCGGCCAAUCAAAGAAGCAAGCGGCGAGCGUACCCCUCCCUGGCGCUGAGGGGACAGGUGUGGCGCGAAGGAGGUGGUAGGCGGCGGUCUCUUCAUGGUGGGGCCGUCCCAUCCAGCUCCCCUCGGACACUGCCGAAGCGUGCCGCUCCCUUGCCGUGCCGCUGUGGCACCUCCGUGCUGGGAGCCGCGGCAGCGCCUGGCAGGAGGCGCGCUCAGACCGGUCAGAUCUGGACAAAAAUCAUUUUUCUUCUCUUCACUCACCCUGCUUGGAGCCUACACACCAGGAUUUUAGAGCAGUACUCUAAUUUGAUGAAAGGAAUAUAAAUACUUCCAGGCACAGCUGACUGACUGAUCCAGAAGGAUACCCACGACAUGGCCACUAGUAAGAUAGAAGGGACGUAGGACUGAAUGAUGUAAACACCUCGGUUUCUUCGAAGGUGGAAGUGGAGACUCAGCCUGGGAAACUGACCUGCUGACAAAAAGUGGAGACAAAGAAAGAUUCCGACCGUGUGAGCAGCAGUUCAACUGAUAUGCAAAAGAACAUUUCCUACAGUGAUGCAGAUCUACAUUCUUAAAUAAAAUUCUUUUGGCCAGGGA
rnacentral:lncRNA from 1 species